rnacentral:rRNA from 1 species
AGGUAGUUGGUGGGAUAAAAGCUUACCAAGCCGACGAUCUGUAGCUGGUCUGAGAGGAUGAUCAGCCACACUGGGACUGAGACACGGCCCAGACUCCUACGGGAGGCAGCAGCAAGGAAUCUUGGGCAAUGGGCGAAAGCCUGACCCAGCAACGCCGCGUGAGGGAUGAAGGCUUUCGGGUUGUAAACCUCUUUUCAUAGGGAAGAAUAAUGACGGUACCUGUGGAAUAAGCUUCGGCUAACUACGUGCCAGCAGCCGCGGUAAUACGUAGGAAGCAAGCGUUAUCCGGAUUUAUUGGGCGUAAAGUGAGCGUAGGUGGUCUUUCAAGUUGGAUGUGAAAUUUCCCGGCUUAACCGGGACGAGUCAUUCAAUACUGUUGGACUAGAGUACAGCAGGAGAAAACGGAAUUCCCGGUGUAGUGGUAAAAUGCGUAGAUAUCGGGAGGAACACCAGAGGCGAAGGCGGUUUUCUAGGUUGUCACUGACACUGAGGCUCGAAAGCGUGGGGAGCGAACAGAAUUAGAUACUCUGGUAGUCCACGCCUUAAACUAUG